ACACUUCAGUGGAAACAAAAGUGCCAUUGCCCUCUCAGCCACCGAUCUGCUUCAAAGAAUGGAAACCACAGUAUUAGAAGGUGCAUUCAAGUCUAACAAUGGAGUACAAGCACCAGACAAUUUUGUAGUUACUGACACACGAGUUGUUCCAGACAACAAAUGCUCUGAGAAGAUUUUCACACUGAAGGCUGGAGAAGAUGCCAUGGCCAUCCAUUGUACUGAAGUCGUCAGAGAAAGCACCACAGGUGGGUGGGGACAGCGCACUCAGAAUUGGCCUAUCAUGAGGGGACCCUCACUGUAGUCAAAUGUUGAUGAUACGAUGGGAUUGGCC
rnacentral:lncRNA from 1 species